rnacentral:rRNA from 1 species
AGAAGUUGAUCAUGGCUCAGAACGAACGCUGGCGGCGGGCCUAAUACAUGCAAGUCGAACGAGAAAAUCCGGCUUCGGCUGGGUGAGUAAAGUGGCGAACGGGUGAGUAACACGUGGGCAAUCUGCCCUUAAGUUUGGGAUAAGCCCUCGAAAGGGGGUCUAAUACCGGAUAAUAUCCGGAGAUGGCAUCUUUUCCGGAUCAAAGGCGGAGCAAUCUGCCGCUUAGGGAUGAGCCCGCGUCCCAUUAGCUUGUUGGUGAGGUAACGGCUCACCAAGGCUGUGAUGGGUAGCCGGCCUGAGAGGGCGAUCGGCCACACUGGGACUGAGAUACGGCCCAGACUCCUACGGGAGGCAGCAGUAGGGAAUAUUGCGCAAUGGACGAAAGUCUGACGCAGCCACGCCGCGUGGAUGAUGAAGCUUUUCGGAGUGUAAAAUCCUGUCAGUGGGGAAGAACCGGUCGGGGAGUAACUGCCCCGGCCCUGACGGUACCCGCAGAGGAAGUUCCGGCUAACUCCGUGCCAGCAGCCGCGGUAAUACGGGGGGAACAAGCGUUGUUCGGAUUCACUGGGCGUAAAGGGCGUGUAGGCGGAUUUGCAAGUCAGAUGUGAAAACCGGCGGCUCAACCACCGGCCUGCAUCUGAUACUGCUAAUCUUGAGUACGGUAGAGGAAAGUGGAAUUCCAGGUGUAGCGGUGACAUGCGUAGAUAUCUGGAAGAACACCGGUGGCGAAGGCGGCUUUCUGGACCGAUACUGACGCUGAGGCGCGAAAGCCAGGGGAGCAAACAGGAUUAGAUACCCUGGUAGUCCUGGCCGUAAACGAUGGGUACUAGGUGUUGGAGGUAUCGACCCCUUCAGUGCCGCAGCAAACGCAUUAAGUACCCCGCCUGGGGAGUACGAUCGCAAGGUUGAAACUCAAAUGAAUUGACGG